AUGAACGCUGGCGGUAUGCCUAACACAUGCAAGUCGAACGGGACUCUUCGGAGUCUAGUGGCGGACGGGUGAGUAACGCGUGAGAAUCUGCCUAGAGGAUGGGGACAACCACGGGAAACGGUGGCUAAUACCCAAUGAGCGGAGACGUCAAAGAUUUAUCGCCUCUAGAGGAGCUCGCGUCUGAUUAGCUAGUUGGUGGGGUAAAAGCCUACCAAGGCGACGAUCAGUAGCUGGUCUGAGAGGACAACCAGCCACACUGGGACUGAGACACGGCCCAGACUCCUACGGGAGGCAGCAGUGGGGAAUUUUCCGCAAUGGGCGAAAGCCUGACGGAGCAAUACCGCGUGAGGGAGGAAGGCUCUUGGGUCGUAAACCUCUUUUCUCAGGGAAGAAGAAAGUGACGGUACCUGAGGAAUCAGCCUCGGCUAACUCCGUGCCAGCAGCCGCGGUAAUACGGAGGAGGCAAGCGUUAUCCGGAAUUAUUGGGCGUAAAGCGUCCGUAGUGGCUCUUCAAGUCUGCUGUCAAAGAGUGGGGCUUAACCCUGCAAAGGCAGUGGAAACUGAAAGGCUAGAGAGCCGUAGGGGUAGAGGGAAUUCCCGGUGUAGCGGUGAAAUGCGUAGAGAUCGGGAAGAACAUCGGUGGCGAAAGCGCUCUACUGGACGGUAUCUGACACUGAGGGACGAAAGCUAGGGGAGCGAAUGGGAUUAGAUACCCCAGUAGUCCUAGCCGUAAACGAUGGAUACUAGGCGUGGCUUGUAUCGACCCGAGCCGUGCCGGAGCUAACGCGUUAAGUAUCCCGCCUGGGGAGUACGCACGCAAGUGUGAGACUCAAAGGAAUUGACGGGGGCCCGCACAAGCGGUGGAGUAUGUGGUUUAACUCGAUGCAACGCGAAGAACCUUACCAGGGCUUGACAUGUCCGGAAUCCCUUGGAAACGAGGGAGUGCCUUCGGGAACCGGAACACAGGUGGUGCAUGGCUGUCGUCAGCUCGUGUCGUGAGAUGUUGGGUUAAGUCCCGCAACGAGCGCAACCCUCGUCUUUAGUUGCCAGCAUUAAGUUGGGCACUCUAGAGAGACUGCCGGUGACAAACCGGAGGAAGGUGGGGAUGACGUCAAGUCAGCAUGCCCCUUACGUCCUGGGCGACACACGUACUACAAUGCUACGGACAAAGGGCAGCAAGCCAGCGAUGGCAAGCCAAUCCCAUAAACCGUGGCUCAGUUCAGAUCGCAGGCUGCAACUCGCCUGCGUGAAGGAGGAAUCGCUAGUAAUCGCCGGUCAGCAUACGGCGGUGAAUCCGUUCCCGGGCCUUGUACACACCGCCCGUCACACCAUGGGAGCCGGUUUGGCCCGAAGUCGUUACCCUAACCUGAAAAGGAGGGGGAUGCCGAAGGCCGGGCUGGUGACUGGGGUG
rnacentral:rRNA from 1 species